rnacentral:rRNA from 1 species
UCGGGAAUUUUGGGCAAUGGGCGAAAGCCUGAUCCAGCCAUGCCGCGUGAGUGACGAAGGCCUUAGGGUUGUAAAACUCUUUCGUCGGGGACGAUAAUGACGGUACCCGAAGAAGAAGCUCCGGCUAACUUCGUGCCAGCAGCCGCGGUAAUACGAAGGGAGCUAGCGUUGUUCGGAAUCACUGGGCGUAAAGCGCACGUAGGCGGAUAGUUAAGUCAGGGGUGAAAUCCUGGGGCUCAACCCCAGAACUGCCUUUGAUACUGGCUGUCUCGAGGUCGAGAGAGGUUGGUGGAAUUCCUAGUGUAGAGGUGAAAUUCGUAGAUAUUAGGAAGAACACCAGUGGCGAAGGCGGCCAACUGGCUCGAUACUGACGCUGAGGUGCGAAAGCGUGGGGAGCAAACAGGAUUAGAUACCCACGUAGUCCCUGAGCGGGCUGGCAAGGCGCAU